CAACCUGAAUGGAUUCACCUCCUCGCCCCAUCUGCUGCCCAGUUUGGUCAUUACAGACCAGUACGAAUACACUUGGCUGGUCUUGCCGAGCCACAUGGAGGCCUGAGUGUGGACACUGUCGUAUCAGACUAUGCUUCAAUGUUCUUACAUCAACAGCAAGGGAAUCAGACUUCAGUACAGAAUGAAAAUGGAACACAAGGCUCACUUUUCCAGCCCCCUUCAGUUCUACUGAAGAGUAGAAUGGGAUUUAAAAGGUUGUCUCUGUAUCUCCCUCCACAGACA